rnacentral:tRNA from 2 species
GGCUCGGUAGCUCAGUUGGUAGAGCGGGGGAUUGAAAAUCCCUGUGUCGGCGGUUCGAUCCCGUCCCGAGCCA